GAUGAACGCUGGCGGCGUGCCUAAUACAUGCAAGUCGAGCGAACAGACGAUGAGCUUGCUCCUCUGACGUUAGCGGCGGACGGGUGAGUAACACGUGGAUAACCUACCUAUAAGACUGGGAUAGCUUCGGGAAACCGGAGCUAAUACCGGAUAAUAUAUUGAACCGCAUGGUUCAAUAGUGAAAGACGGUUUUGCUGUCACUUAUCGAUGGAUCCGCGCCGCAUUAGCUAGUUGGUAAGGUAACGGCUUACCAAGGCAACGAUGCGUAGCCGACCUGAGAGGGUGAUCGGCCACACUGGAACUGAGACACGGUCCAGACUCCUACGGGAGGCAGCAGUAGGGAAUCUUCCGCAAUGGGCGAAAGCCUGACGGAGCAACGCCGCGUGAGUGAUGAAGGUCUUCGGAUCGUAAAACUCUGUUAUUAGGGAAGAACAAAUGUGUAAGUAACUAUGCACGUCUUGACGGUACCUAAUCAGAAAGCCACGGCUAACUACGUG
rnacentral:rRNA from 1 species